ensembl:lncRNA
UGGGUCUCGCUGAUGUGUCUGAGUCACUCUGCGUGGGUGUAACGCUGCUCUGGUUGUUAUUAAUCUCUCUGAAGCCUCUUUGCAGUGAUUAAGGGAGCACUGUAUGAAAGCAGUCUGCUGCGUGGGCUCUCACCAAGAAAGACCCACUAAGUGGAUUUUGCCAGAUCCUUUAGCCAAACUGCUCUUUUCUUGGCAACUGCAGCGUGCAUCAACAUAAAUGUAAAGUCAAUUUCUAGUGUAUUUUUAAUGUCCUUUAUUCAUGUUUUUUGGACACGGCACAAACCACUAAAAUGAAAGCACAGUACUUAAUGUAGCCAGUCACUUUUCUGAUGUGCCAGUGUGUAUAAAUAAGCCUGAGCAGGAGACAAGAAUUCACAGUUAAAAGACAGAAAGAACAAGCAUGCAUGUUCUUACUGGUGAUUGUCUUUGAGUGAAGAAGGGAUUUCAGUGGUCCUCUUGUGAGGGACGAGCAAGGAGUGGAGCUGGACCCCCAGUUGGCAUCCAUAACAGCCCAACAAGUGGCCAGGGAUCUGCUCUGCUAAGGCAGCUUUUUUCCAAGCUGACUGCUAAGGACUGGGUUUCUGGGGAGCAGAAGAGCUGCGCUCUCACCAAGUUUGCUGUGGAGAUGAGAUCAUAUGGAAGUGGCCAGCAGAAACAUAGAAGAGAGCAUGAGAUCUACUAUGCCCAGAAGGCCUCUGAAACCUCCGAAAUUUCUUCUCUCUGUAAGGCCAGCAAGUUCAUCCUUAAGAAGGCAGAGAAGAAUGCCCAGAUGGGAGAUAUACUCAGAAGUGACCAGUUUGGAUGUAAAGUGUAAUCAUUUAUGAUGAGAGGACAUGAUUUCCACCUAGGAUGCCAGUCUCUUACAGAAGGUAUACUUCAUAAUUAUGCAAGUGACAGACUGAAAGCUCCUAAAUGGGUUUCACUAGCAGAGCAGUUACAGCCAUACUUUGC